rnacentral:lncRNA from 1 species
AGGUAUGCUAUACUAUGCAAUUAUUACAAGAAGUGGGGAAAUGUAACUAAAAAUCAAAAUACAUUUCAUUUGCUAUAAUUACAGCUGUUUAAAUUCUUAUGUAUUCACACAAAGAGUAGAAGAGAACAUUAAAAAAAAACACAGACAUUAUUGAUAGGUCAGGGAAUUACUGAUUUUGCUAUUUUGAAAAAGAUAAUUUAUAAAGAUCUUCUAAAAUUGCCAUAAUAUGGUUAGCACAAGGUUUUUAAAAAUGUAAACAG